rnacentral:rRNA from 1 species
UACAUAUGGGGCAAGCGUUGUCCGGAUUUAUUGGGUUUAAAGGGUGCGUAGGCGGCCCGUUAAGUCAGUGGUGAAAGCCUCCAGCUCAACUGGAGAACUGCCAUUGAUACUGACGGGCUUGAGUACAGACGAGGUUGGCGGAAUUGAUUGUGUAGCGGUGAAAUGCAUAGAUACAAUCAAGAACUCCGAUUGCGUAGGCAGCUAACUAGGCUGUAACUGACGCUGAGGCACGAAAGCGUGGGGAGCGAACAGG